rnacentral:rRNA from 1 species
UAGAAAGUUAAUAAGGGCACACGGUGGAUGCCUAGGCUCUUGGAGGCGAAGAAGGACGUGGCAAGCUGCGAAAAGCUGCGGGGGAGGCGCAAACAGCCGCUAUAUCCGCAGAUGUCCGAAUGGGGCAACCCGUAUAGUUGAAGACUAUACAUCCUGCAAAGGAGGCGAACCCGCUGAACUGAAACAUCUAAGUAGGCGGAGGAAGAGAAAAACAACAGUGAUUCCGCAAGUAGUGGCGAGCGAACGCGGAAGAGCCUAAACCGUAAGACGUAGUUUUACGGGGUUAUAGGGCUUGACAUAAUAACAGUUAUGGAAGCAGAACACAACUGGAAAGUUGGACGAUACGAGGUGAUAGUCCUGUAAGCGAACAAAUGACUGUUAGGUUAAGUACCUGAGUAGCGCGAGACCGGAGAAAUCUUGCGUGAAUUUGGCGGCACCAUCCGCUAAGGCUAAAUACUCCCAAGAGACCGAUAGUGAACAAGUACCGUGAGGGAAAGGUGAAAAGAACCUCGGUGAGAGGAGUGCAAUAGACCCUGAAACCGUGUGCUUACAAGCGGUCGGAGCACGUUUGCAAAGAUGUGUGACGGCGUGCCUUUUGCAUAAUGAGCCUACGAGUUACGAUUACUGGCAAGGUUAAGGCAUACGAAUGCUGCAGCCGUAGCGAAAGCGAGUCUGACAAAGGGCGCCAUAGUCAGUGGUUGUAGACGCGAAACCUAAGUGAUCUACCCUUGGCCAGGCUGAAGUUGUGGUAAAGCACAAUGGAGGGCCGAACUAGUUGACGUUGAAAAGUCUUUGGAUGAGCUGAGGGUAGGGGUGAAAGGCUAAUCAAACUGGGAGAUAGCUCGUACUCCCCGAAAUGCCUUUAGGGGCAGCCUAGGUGCAUAGAAGAUGACAGAGGUAGAGCUACCGAUAGGGUUAGGGGGCUUCACCGCCUACCACCCCCUGACGAACUCCGAAUGCUGUCAUCGGAUAACCUGGAGAGAGGCUGCGGGUGCUAAGGCCCGUAGCCGAGAGGGAAAGAACCCAGACCAUCGUCUAAGGUCCCCGGCGGGUAAGCUAAGUUGAGGAAACGAUGUUCGAUUGCAGAGACAGCCAGGAUGUUGGCUUGGAAGCAGCCAUUCAUUUAAAGAGUGCGUAACAGCUCACUUGGUCGAGUGAUUGAGCGCGGAAAAUAACCGGCAUCAAGUUUACCACCGAAGACAUGGAUACUACCGCGAGGUAGUGGUAGGGGAGCAUUGUAGCGUUGUCGAAGCUUCAGUACGUGAGUCGGAGUGGAGAUGCUACAAAAGCAAAUGUAGGCAUAAGUAACGAUAAACAAGGUGAAAAACCUUGUCACCGCAAGACUAAGGGUUCCUGAUCAACGCUAAUCGGAUCAGGGUUAGUCGGGGCCUAAGGAUAACCCGUGAGGGGAUUCCGAUGGGAAACGGAUGGAUAAUUCCGUACCAUUGUAAACUGCGAAGGAGGGACGAAGGAGCGUAAGGGCUGCGCACGGACGGAAGUGUGCGUUAAAGGUAGUAGGCUGUGAGGUGUUCAGGCAAAUCCGGACACUGAGCUGAGAGCUGAUAGUACUCUGAACCUUCGGGAGAGGAGAUAAUGCCCCCAAGCAAGCUUCCAAGAAAAUCUUCUAAGCAAAAGGUAUACAAUGCCUGUACCGCAAACCGACACAGGUAGUCGAGGAGAGUAUCCUAAGGUGCUCGAGUGAAUCGUGGCUAAGGAAUUAGGCAAAAUAGUCCCGUAACUUCGGGAGAAGGGACGCCUCCCCAUGCGAAUGGGAGGCCGCAGUGAAGAGGCCCAGGCGACUGUUUAACAAAAACACAGGACUCUGCCAAGCUGAAAGGCUAAGUAUAGGGUCUGACACCUGCCCGGUGCUGGAAGGUUAAGGGAGGGGGUUAGAGGCAACUCGAAGCUCUUGACUGAAGCCCCAGUAAACGGCGGCCGUAACUAUAACGGUCCUAAGGUAGCGAAAUUCCUUGUCGGGUAAGUUCCGACCUGCACGAAUGGUGUAACGAUCUGGGCACUGUCUCGGCCACGAGCUCGGUGAAAUUGUAGUAACGGUGAAGAUGCCGUUUACCCGCAGUGGGACGAAAAGACCCUGUGAACCUUCACUAUAGCUUAGCAUUGAUACUGGGUAAAUGAUGUGUAGGAUAGGUGGGAGGCUGAGAGACGGCUACGCUAGUAGUUGUGGAGCCAACGUUGAAAUACCACCCUUUGUUUAUUUAGUGUCUAAUCCUGCGAGGGAGACAGUGCUUGGUGGGUAGUUUGACUGGGGCGGUCGCCUCCAAAAGAGUAACGGAGGCUUCCAAAGGUGCCCUCAGCACGCUUGGUAACCGUGCGUAGAGUGUAUUAGCAUAAGGGCGCUUGACUGCAAGACCGACAAGUCGAGCAGGUAGGAAACUAGGGUAAAGUGAUCCGGUGGUUCCGCAUGGAAGGGCCAUCGCUCAAAGGAUAAAAGGUACUCCGGGGAUAACAGGCUGAUCUCCCCCAAGAGCUCACAUCGACGGGGAGGUUUGGCACCUCGAUGUCGGCUCGUCACAUCCUGGGCUGGAGAAGGUCCUAGGGUUGGGCUGUUCGCCCAUUAAAGUGGUACGCGAGCUGGGUUCAGAACGUCGCAAGACAGUUCGGUCUCUAUCUACUGUGGGCGUUAGAUAUUUGCGGAGGGCUGAUACUAGUACGAGAGGACCGUAUCGGACGAACCUCUAGUGUACCGGUUGUGCCGCCAGGUGCAGUGCCGGGUAGCUAUGUUCGGUUGGGAUAAGCGCUGAAAGCAUCUAAGCGCGAAGCCUGCUUCAAGAUGAGAUAUCUUUUAAGGGCAGUUGAAGAUGACGACAUUGAUAGGUGGCAGGUGUAAAGAUGGAGACAUCAUAGCCGAGCCAUACUAAUCGCCCGUAAACUUUCACAA